rnacentral:rRNA from 1 species
AGUGAACGCUGGCGGUAGGCCUAACACAUGCAAGUCGAACGGCAGCACAGUAAGAGCUUGCUCUUACGGGUGGCGAGUGGCGGACGGGUGAGGAAUACAUCGGAAUCUACUUUUUCGUGGGGGAUAACGUAGGGAAACUUACGCUAAUACCGCAUACGACCUACGGGUGAAAGCAGGGGAUCUUCGGACCUUGCGCGAUUGAAUGAGCCGAUGUCGGAUUAGCUAGUUGGCGGGGUAAAGGCCCACCAAGGCGACGAUCCGUAGCUGGCCUGAGAGGAUGAUCAGCCACACUGGAACUGAGACACGGUCCAGACUCCUACGGGAGGCAGCAGUGGGGAAUAUUGGACAAUGGGCGCAAGCCUGAUCCAACCAUACCGCGUGGGUGAAGAAGGCCUUCGGGUUGUAAAGCCCUUUUGUUGGGAAAGAAGAGCAGCAGGUUAAUACCCCGCUGUUCUGACGGUACCCAAAGAAUAAGCACCGGCUAACUUCGUG